GAAAACUUCCCUUGUUUGGAGUUUAAGGAUUUCUUGGCCCAGAAAUCCAGCUCUUGAAGUUCCUCUUAGAUGGCUCACUUCUCAACCCCCUUCGUCUCCUUUCUCAGCAAGAGACUGAUCGGUCUUCUGGAAUUUUCCUCCCACCCUUCUGGCUUCUCCUUCUCCUUCAGAGCUCCUGCUACUGUCGCCAUUCCAGUAAGACACACUGCCUCUGUCUGCUCAGGCACUCUCUUCUCCCAAAUCAAGCAAGAGCAAAAAUUGGUGCAUUCUGUGUAACCAAAGCUCUCCUAUGUCCUGGAAGAAGGAAAGGAGGAGAGUGGGAGGGAGAAAUACAGAAAGAGAUGAAGGAGUUGAGAAGAGAAAGAACAGGAGGAGGGAAAGGAAGGAGGAAGAGAAAAAGAAAGCAAAAAUGAUUUUGUAAUAACCAUCUUCCUUGUCUGGCAGACAGAUUAUUUUUUUCCAGAAAAUAUCUUCCUUAGAUUGACCAAUACAGAAACUUCAAGAGAGAAAGAACUAAGCCUGAUUUUUAAGAUUUUUUUCUUCUUUUUCUUUUUUCAUGUUCAGUCACCUUAGUUUCAGAGGCUAUUUCUGUAAGCUGCAUCAGCUGGACCUGGACCAUAUGGCAGAGGCAGCAUCUAUGCCUGAUGAUUCAAUUGACCCGGUGGAUGACUAGAUAGUUUUAAAAGCCCUUUGUAUCCUCACAGGUCAUUUGUCUAUAUCAGAUGCAAAAGGAAGCGCUGCAGCCACCUCAGAUCACCCUGGAAUGCCCUCCCAGAUGGACCAGACUCCAUGUUUUGUCAAGGAAAAUUGAACAUUACCUGGCCAGGCUUGUGCUGAAACUUCAAGUUGUAUUCAAAUAUUUCCAGCAAGCCAUUGUCAUUGCCUGUAAUGUUUCUAUCCAAAUCACAUCAAGUGAAAACUUGGGCACCAGAAGCACAUUGGAGAACUCGUGCUACCUGCUUUCUUAUUUUAAGACCCAUGUGCUGCAUACAGGAUCUCUGGAUAAAAAUUUCAAUACGUCUCAGAAUAAGCAGCAACUUUUCUUGUUGAUUGUCUUUCAGAUGUUUCCACCAAGAUGACAAUCCGCAUCUUAUUAGUAAUGUUUCUCCAAGCUCACAGCCCCUUGAAACGAGAGCUUGGUGACUCUGGAGUGGACUAUAGCUAUCUAGUGACAUCACCUUGAUGCUAUUCAGCAGCAGCUUUUCCUUCGCUGGAGAAGUGACUGGCACAAAUGACUUGGGGCUGUUAUUGCAGGAUCAAUGACCUGAAUAUAUGGGAGUAGAACUCCCCUGAGAAUUGGAUUCAAGAGACUUGGAGCUUCCCAGGAAUCUAAAAGAAAUGGCAUUUAGGUUUUCAUGGCCCACUAGAGCCGGUUAAAAGGUCAGAAAUAAAAGGUUAUUGACCUGAGAGAUUUUCUUGAGA
rnacentral:lncRNA from 13 species